AACUUACUCACCAAUGCCCAUAAACUUACUCACCUUGCCCCCAAAAUCUUACUCACCAAUGUCCAUAACUUACUCACUUGUGCCCAUAAACUUACUCACCUGAACCCAUGAACUUACUCACCAAUGCCCAUAAACUUACUGGUGCCAUAAACUUACUCACCUUUCCCCAAAAACUUACUCACCAAUGCCCAUAAACUUACUCACCUGAGCCCAUGAAAUUACUCACCUGCCCCCAAAACUUACUCACCAAUGCCCAAAACUUACUUGUGCCCAUAAACUUACUCACCAAUCCCCAUACACUUACUCACUACCAGGGCUGCACAUUUGAAUCUUACCAGGGCACACACUAAGAAUGAUUUGUCCUGGUAUAGUGUGGCGAAUUCUUAUGGCUCCGUGGUGUAGUGGUUAGCAUGCCUACCUAUGAAUCUGCCAGCCAGGGUUGGAAUCCCCAUCCCUGGACAGUCAUUUAAUUGUUGCCCACUUAUGAAUUUUCCCCAAAAACAUUUGAGUAAGAAUUAAUUUUGUCAUAGGUAUGUAUGUAGGUGAGUAAGGUUAGGUUAUGUUCAUCCUUCCUUUCAGGCGGGCUGGAUGUACCUAUUGUUAGACCUUGCUGUAUAGAUCUCUCUCUCUCUCUCUCUCUCUCUCUCUCUCUCUCUCUCUCUCUCUCUCUCUCUCUCUCUCUCUCUCUCUCUCUCUCUCUCUCU